rnacentral:lncRNA from 1 species
UUAGAUGUGCUAGAUAAACUUUCACUAAGAAUUAUCGCUCACUUCAUUUUACCAUAUUAAAAAUGGUGUUUCUUUGACUUACGCAAACGUUGAUAAAACCGGGUUUUGGGCUUGUUUUACAUAUUUUAAAGCUACGUUUGUUCAAUGUCAAUGAGCAAUACAGUUAAACUUUAGGGAAAUAAUUUUUUUUCUUAUAAACGCGCUAUAGUGAAAGAAAAACAGCAUUCACACUUGGUUGCGAUGUAGAAUGCACAUUCCAUCAUGCUUCAGGUAUACACAUGGACAGACAUGGCUGUAUAUACAAAGUUCUGAAAUCUGGAAACGCAUUGUAUACCGUGAGCUGCCAUGCAUGGUGUCCAGAUGGCUUUUUUUACCAGCUUCCAAACUUAACGCCCUGUCUACAGAUUGCUAAUAACUUUGCUGAAAGAAGUUUAAGAUCUCAUAUAACUCAGUGCAUCCGAGGCAUAUGUGUUCAUGGAGAGUGCAGACCUUAUGCUCGUCGAGUCAACUGCAAGGUUCCAAUGACCAGAAAACACUGCUGGGACGAAUACGGGAACUAUUACCUCAUGCGACGUUAGGCUCUUUGGUCAUUACAGCUGUUGAUCGAUUCUUUGGAUUUUUCCUUCAAUAAAUCGAACAGACAAACUGUUCUCAUGUGCCAUAA